UGCAAUCAAUGAUGUAAACUUUCCGACACUAUACUGAGUUAAUAUCAAUGAUUAAUUCGUAUAAUAUUCACCAUCUUUCGGCUGAGAUUGCA